AUUGAACGCGGCGGCAGACUUAACACAUGCAAGUCGAACGGUAACAGGAAGAAGUUUGCUUCUGUUCUGACGAGUGGCGGAGGGUGAGUAAAUCCGGGAAACUUCCCGAUAGAGGGGUAUAAAUACAGGAAACGGUAGUAAUACCGCAUAACGUGGCAAGCCAAAGAGGGGGACAUUAGGGCCUCAAACCAUCGGAUGUGCCCAGAUGGG
rnacentral:rRNA from 1 species